GGGGAUGUAGCUCAGCGGGAGAGCACCGCCUUUGCAAGGCGGGGGUCAUGGGUUCGAAUCCCAUCAUCUCCACCA
rnacentral:tRNA from 2 species